UGACUGGGGUAAAAUAUCUGCCCCCCUAAUCAGUAAUGAUUAGUGAAUAAACCCUGUUAAUUGCGGGGAAUCCCUUAGAGCCUUAGCUACUAACAUAUCAUGGUGACAUAGAUAUGGGCGUUGCUAAUCACAACGGUAUAGUAAAAAGGUUAAGGAUAGGGUAAUCCGCAGCCAAGCCUCUCAAGUAGAGGAAGGUUCAACGACUAAACUUCCGGGUAACCCUACAAAUGGGUAGGGCUAGAACCGGAUAAGAGGUUUACGAUGAGAUAACCGUGUAAUUGUAGACCGUAAUACAGGGAACCCUACACCAAAACGUAGGGUUAAGAUAUAGUCUAGUCCGACUGCCUAGAGCAGU
rnacentral:ncRNA from 1 species